GGGGGGGGGGGGCGGGGGGGCGGGGGGGGGGGGGGCGGGCGGGGGGGGGGGGCUUGCGGCUGGGUGCAGCGGCGGGCGGGUGGGUGGUGCCUAGGAAGCUGCCUGGUAUUGGGGGAUGACGUCCGGGAACGGGCGCUACUACCGCGUCCGUCCUGAGGGCGGCAGGGGGUGCUCUUCGGACCUCACGCUAUCAGAUGCUCCUAGGUCGUAUUCGCUAGUUGGUGGGUUAACGGCCUACCAAGGCGACGGUCCGUACCUGGUCUGAGAUGAUGAGCAGUAAGACUGGAACUGAGACAAGGUCCAUACUCCUACGGGAGGCAGCAGUGGGGAAGAUUGGACAAUGGGCGAAAGCCUGAUCCAGCCAUGCCGCGUGUGUGAAGAAGGUCUUCGGAUUGUAAAGCACUUGAAGUUGGGAGGAAGGGCAGUAAGUUAAUACCUUGCGUUUGUGACGUUACCAACAGAAUAAGCACCGGCUAACUUCGUG
rnacentral:rRNA from 1 species